rnacentral:lncRNA from 1 species
CCCAAGAGGACCUGGUGGCUAUUUGCAGAGAGAAAUCUGUCCCAUCCAGAUGUUGCUAGCCUGGCCCUGCUGCUCACCUCCCACUGCUCUGUGACCUUGGGAGCUUUGGAUCUCCACCUAGGAUGAACUCCAAUUCCAGAUUGAAGCCAUCCAUAGCAGGGGAUACGGAAAGGGGACUGUUAAACCACCAGCAAUCUAGGCAGCAAAAACCUUGUAUUCCUUUGCCUGAUUGGCCCUUGGGCCGUGUUAUGGAGGAAGGUCCCUGCUCAUCUGGGCCUGGAGGCUCUACACCCAGCAGGGCACUUGCUGUAGUUUGGGAAAAGGGAUUGGGCUUCAGUCUUCAGAAUGGAUGGAAGCUGCAAAGAAGAG